GAAAUAGACUUAAACCAAGUUUGAAGCAUUGCAUCUGUUUGCCAGUACUGUGAGAAAACGUUGUUACCGAAGAAGACUGGAUGCUAAAACAAACUCUGGAGCUGCUUUUUGUCGUUAAUGAAGAGGACUGAAUGCUAAAACAAACUCCUCUCCUCUGCUUUUUUGUCGAACAGGAGUGAGACUGGACGCUGAACACACCUGCGGCGCGAAGGUUUACUCGUUCAGCUGCGCCAGUCUGGACAGAAACACCAGCUCUCACCUUACAAAUCAAACAGGUGUCACUACUUUGUCCAUGAUCACAGAGAGUCUUUGUACAAUGAAGAAGUUCUUUGAAAUCAGGAAUGAAGCCUCCAGGUAAUUCACAAACAGCUUUACAUCAACUGUCCAACACAGAGCAGUGACAGUAAAUUAUAUAUCUUCAGUAACUGAUCUUCAGUCUGACUAGUUUGAUUUGACACAAAAAGUACAUAGUUCAUGAAUGUACAGUUCAAAGAAAAUGAAGAAUUUAAAUAUGAGCUCUCUCUCUGUCUCUUUCUCUCUCCCUCAUUCUCCUAAGCCUGGCACACACUAACAGAUUUUUAAAAUCUUACCUGAUUUAGAAAAUGUGAGAGACCACACACACAACGACAAAUAAUGUCCGAUUUCAGAGUUUUGUUCUUAUAGUGUGUGAUGUGCAGCGAGAAGACCAACACAGUAAACCACACACUAACAGAUUCACCACCAACAACCAGAGUCUGGACUCUCAAACAUGGCGGAUGACGAUGUCUCUUGUUUGUUGUGCUUCCGUCUUCAGUCAGCUUGCACCCUGAUCGGCUAACGCCCUGUUCCAUGAGACAAUCCACAGAGUGCGUGCUUGGUUUUCCUUGGUGUACUCCCCACUUUUCGAUCGUAA